UAAGCACUUAAGGUGAACCGCGAAUGGCUCAUUAAAUCAGUUAUGGUUCCUUAGAUGGUGGACAGUUACUUGGAUAACUGUGGUAAUUCUAGAGCUAAUACAUGCAACUGAGUCCUGACCGGCGACGGAAGGGACGCUUUUAUUAGAUCAAAACCAAUCGGUCGCUCACGCGGCCGUUUGCCUUGGUGACUCUGAAUAAAUUGAGGCGGAUCGCACGGUCUCCGAACCGGCGACGCAUCUUUCAAAUGUCUGCCUUAUCAACUGUCGAUGGUAGGCUCUGCGCCUACCAUGGUUGUAACGGGUAACGGGGAAUCAGGGUUCGAUUCCGGAGAGGGAGCCUGAGAAACGGCUACCACAUCCAAGGAAGGCAGCAGGCGCGCAAAUUACCCACUCCCGGCACGGGGAGGUAGUGACGAAAAAUAACGAUACGGGACUCAUCCGAGGCCCCGUAAUCGGAAUGAGUACACUCUAAAGACUUUAACGAGUAUCCAUUGGAGGGCAAGUCUGGUGCCAGCAGCCGCGGUAAUUCCAGCUCCAAUAGCGUAUAUUAAAGUUUUUUGCGGGUUAAACAAAG
rnacentral:rRNA from 1 species